CUCGAGUGAAAAGACAAAAUAGUGGCGCAGGAAAAUUCGCGGACGCAUCUAAAAUGCCACAGAUCAAGUUACUUCGGUUAUUUCUUCAGAUGUUUAAAAAUUUUUGGGAUGCGUCAUAUGUUGGGGGAGCACACCCUCUGCACCCCAACGUCCCGAAGGCGAUCGUGGCAUUGUAUAAAGAAAAAGUCGUCGAAUUCUUUAUUCCUGAUGUCGGGGACGACAAAGAUUUGUCAAAAUAAAUAUAGUGUUAUUUUUAUCACAGUAACGAAAUAUAUAAUUGUUUUAAUUUUUGGUGUG
rnacentral:misc_RNA from 1 species